UGUAUUAUACAAAAUGGGUUAGUAGUUACACGUAUAAACAAACCGAAAAGCAACAGAAAACACUGAAGACUCCAUUUUGCAUGAAAUCGAAGCAUCUAGAGCUCAUCUGACCUUAUAUUUGACCAAUCCCACAUGGUUUCAGAACAAAGAUUCAUGGCAUAUUUCAUGAUUGGGUGUAUUUUGUUUCAGUGUACUCAAGAUUGGAAUGGAAAUACUACAAAUGGUUGGUUAAGGAGGCCUUGAACGAGAAAGAAGGUGUAUGCAAUAUAAUUGCGAAGUACAUGGAAGACAAAUACCAGGAUGAGUUGCUAGUGAAUGUCAGAAGAAUUCUUGGUUUUUAAUUGGAGAAUUCUAUAACAAAGGGAGAGCAAUAAUUUAUUUGUAAUGGCGGAUAAUCUAAUAAGAUGAGAUAGAGUUUUCU